AAUUUUUUUGUCGAAGGUUAAAUUUCCCACUUUUUUUCCCACACAUGCCAAAGUGCGAAUCUCUAAUUUUCAGUUGACCUCUCUCCCACUCUCUCUCCCUGUGCAUCUCUUCCAAGUCGAACAAAUUGGAGCUCUGAUACUUUAGCUCUGAGCAAAAUAAAUCUCACCACAUAUGGAUCGGAAUUAGAUGGUAUGCCAGAUGGUCGACUCAUAGUCCUUAUUUAUGUGGAUGAGAUGCUAGAGGUUUAAGUUUUGUUUCCAUCUACUCUUCCGCAGAGGCCGAAACCCUCUCAUCCUCUCAGCAAUUCGUUGUCGUCUCUCCCCAAACCCCCAACCUAGCUGCUGUCCCUAGAAGCCUCCGACCCCCUCCGCGAUGCCAUUGAGGAGCUCCAGUGCCGCCAGCGCACUGAUGUUGCGCGUGGCUCGCCGCACAACCCGCCCAAUGUAUGAAUGAGAGAGGAUAUGAUUGUUGGAUUUCCAACCUAUCGAUAUGAUGAAGGUGAGUGGCUCGCACUGAUGUUGCGCGUGGCUCGCAUCUCAACUAGUUCUGGUAUGCUUGCUACCUGAGUCAUCCAACCUAUCGAUAUGAUGAAGGUGAGAAUUCAAUUGGAUCAGGGAUCAGCUGGACAAGUUGCCAGGACCAUGAUCAAGAAGGAGGGUUUUGGUUCAUUGUAUAAGUGCUAGCACUUAGAGGAACAGACUAUGGCAAGUCAAAGAUGAGUUAUCCGGGCCAUGAUUUUAUACUAUCUGCUAAUCAUUUAAGAUACUAGUCCUUCCAUGGAAUCCUCAGCUUUGAGUUGUUACAUUGAAGGAUAUUAUUUGGCAAGGAGAAACCAGUGGAGUUAAUGAAGUGCUGCAUUCAUUCAUGAUUGAUAUCCAAUAAGAAGAUUAGCGGAGUAUUCAUUAAGAUAUAUUUUCCAAAUCAUUUUGUAGUCACUUUAGACUUAUUUUGUAUUGUAUAUUAAUGUAUUUUAGUGAGUAAUAGUCCUUUUGGUGGUUUUAA